rnacentral:rRNA from 1 species
GACAUAGGUGGCAAGCGUUAUCCGGAAUUACUGGGCUUAAAGGGCGCGUAGGCGGGAGACCAAGUCCGGGGUGAAAUCUUUCGGCUUAACCGGAAAAUGGCCUUGGAUACUGGUCUUCUCGAGCGAGGUAGGGGCAGCUGGAACUUCCGGUGGAGCGGUGAAAUGCGUUGAUAUCGGAAGGAACGCCGGUGGCGAAAGCGAGCUGCUGGACCUCUUCUGACGCUGAGGCGCGAAAGCCAGGGGAGCAAACGGG